AUUCUAUCUCGAUUUAUCAUUUGCAUUGAAUUUCCUCUUUCUGAAGAUAUGGUAUAUAGCUAUUUCAUUGUUAUUAUCAUGUCUAAAUUACAUGUUUAGUCCCUUGAACUUUGUGUCUCCUUGAUUGCUUAACUUUCCAAAAGUGUCUAAAAGAUCUGCAUGCUUUCAAUUUUGUGUAACCAAGUCUCAAAAUUUUAAAUUCAUGCAUUUAAUAGGUUCCAUUGAAGUUGAGAAUCAUUGUAAACCUAGAUCUUUCUUUUUUUUCUUUGCUAUGGUUAAAUUAUAAGUUAAUGUUUUGUUCUGUUACAAUUUUGUUCCUAUCAAUAUUGAUUAGUAUUAAAGUUAGUAUACUAUUUUGGACGUUGUUACUUCUUGUACAUUUAUAUGUCAUACUAUCAGUACAUCUUAAAUUUAGUUCAUCUGGUUUCAACAAAUCGUAACAACAUUUGAAGACAUUAUUUAUCAAAUUGGUUAGAGUAAUUUUUUAAAACAAUAAAGUAAUAGCAAUAACUAAGUUAAGAUUUAUAAAAAAUAUAGAAUUAAGAUGGUACAAACUCUAUACUUUCCUCCUCAUUCUUCACCAUGAGAGAACCCUUAAAAUUAAAAAAAAAAAAACGAAAAAGAAAUUCAUUUUAAUUUUGCAUGGAUGCAUUAGUACCCAUCAAGGAAGACAAAGGUGAAGAAAAAAAUAUAGUAGUUGGCUAGCUGGUAUAGGCAAGAAAGUCAAAACCACCAAGCUUAGAACAAUGUCAGAGGUCCCGAAAGUUCACAUCUAACUGCUGGGUGUCACAAUCUUAACCCUUCAAACACGAUGUGAACGAUUGUCACAUCUAACUGCUGGGUGUCACAUCUAACUGCUGAGUGUCCCGAAAGUUCACAUCUAACUCGACGAAUAAGUCAGCCGUUCAAAAUCUGCAAAUCGCGGACAACUUUAACACACGCUUCAACCUCCCCUCACGUUCUUGGAAAAAUAUUUUUAGAAAACGUGAAAGAUGAUUAAUUUGAUUGAAAACGUUGUUAAAACUAGCAUUGAAGAUUGUUGUCAAUUGCAAUAAGAAAGCGUAGAUUGCAAAGAGUACGACAAGGCUUGGGCGGGGAUUCAACAGGUAUGCCUCUCCUAUAGUACUUUUUUAACAUUUUCAUCUCUGGAAGGCUUGCAUAUGAAAAUGCCGAAACGUUACACCCAAGCAUAUCGACUUGAAAUUCAAAGCAACUACCUAAACUACGUACAAGACAUAAAGACAAGAUAAAUUGGGGCUAAUCUGAGCAUAUGGCCAUAGGUAAACACACCUUGGACAAGUAUGUUUGUUACAUUCUCCCCCACCUAAACAGUUGACGUCCCUGUCAACUGGUGAAGCUUGAACUCCUCAAUCUUCUGCGCCUCGGCUUCUAGGUCUUCGACACAUUCCCAACCGGUUUCUUCCACAAGAAGGUUCUUCCACUCUACCAAGUACUCGUGGAUCCUUCUUCCUCGCUCGUUCGGCCAGGAUUUCUUCAACUUCUUUACUCUCCUUCUGGCUGAGGUCGAUGGUCAGUCAGACUAUGACAUUAUGUUGCAUGUCAUCAGGAUCAUGCUAGUAGGGCUUCAAAUUACUCACAUGAAUUACUGGGUUGAUUUUCAUCCAUGUGGGCAACGCUACUUUAUAAGAUGUGUUCCUUACCUUCUUCAGCACUUCCACUUGUCCCUCGUACUUUCUUACGAGGCGUUGGUCUUUGCGUCCUCGGAACCGAAUCUGUCCUGGUUGUAACUUAAUGAGAACCUGAUCUCUGACACGAAACUCUAUAGGGCGGCGCUUCUUGUCUGUCCACUUCUUCAUCUGCUUCGAGGCUUUCUCUAAAGAGGCUCGAGCGAUGUAUGUCGUCUGCUUCCAUUCCCUGGUAAAAUUGUGAGCUUGAGGGUUCUUCCCCGCAUAGGGGUGAUCAACAAGGUGUGGCAGAACUGGUUGCCUUCCGCAAACAAUUUCAAAAGGGCUAUUUCCAGUUGACGAGCUUGUCUGAGCGUUAAAACAAAAAUUGGGCAACAUCCAACAACUGAGCCCAAUUUCUUUGCCUUGCAGUAACAAAAUGGCGCAAGUAUUCUUCGAGCAUACCGUUGAACCGCUCAGUCUGACCGUCCGUCUGGGGAUGGUAACUUGAGGACACAUUCAGGCUUGUCCCUAAGAAAGUGAAUAACUCUGUCCAAAAGGCGCCAAUGAACCGUCCAUCUCGAUCACUCACAAUGCUUGUCGGUACACCCCACAACUUCAUAAUAUGUCUAAAGAAUAAUUGAGCUGUUAACUCUGCCGAACACUACUUCGUAGUGGGAACAAAAGUGACAUAUUUCGAGAAUCAAUCUAUAAUGACUAAUAUAGUCUCAUAGUCGCCUACUUUUGGAAGAUGUGUGAUGAAGUCUAUAGAAACGCUCUCCCACGGUCUCGUUAGCACAGGCAGAGGUUCGAGAAGCCCAGCAACCUUUGCCUUCUCGACUUUGUCCUGUUGACAGACAAGACACAUCUUCGUGUAUUGCAUGAUAUCGUCUCUCAUACGGGGCCAAAAGUAUCCAUACUUCAGCAAGACAUAUGUCCUCUGUCAUCCGGGGUGGCCGGCCCACAGAGUGUCCUGACACUCGUGUAGCAACUUCUUCCUCAGGUCUCCUCCCCUAGGGACAUACAACCGUCUCCCCUUCGUCACUAACAACCCAUCUUCAACCCAAAACUGCCUUGUUUUAUCUGCCUCAGCUAAACUCAUGACACUUUGAGCCGCAGAAUGCUUCUGCAAGAACUCCCUCAAGAAAUCGC